AUGCUGCGAGGCAUGGGGUUUGACAAUACAACCUUCCUCUAUCUUGCCUUCGGUAAAAUAUACAAUGCUACAAAAUACAUGGCUCCCCUUCGCCAGAUGUUCCCUCUUUUACAAACCAAGGACACUCUUGCAUUGUCUGAAGAGCUUGCUGAGUUUGAGGGGUACUCUUCUCAGUUAGUAGCACUAGAUUACACCGUCUGUGUUCAGAGCGAAGUGUUUGUGACAACUCAAGGGUGGAACUUCCCUCACUUUUUGAUGGGACACAGGUGUUACCUAUUAGGAGGGAAUGCAAAGGCAAUAAAACCCGACAAACGGAAGCUGGUCUUAUCUUUUGACGACCCAAAUAUUAGGUCAAUUUGA
rnacentral:rRNA from 1 species